ensembl:lncRNA
GGGCCAUAGGAAACUGUAAUGGUGGUUCAGCACAUGUAGCUCUGUUGACUUGUUUGUUGUUUUGAAGAUGCCUACAGGUCUUUACCACUUUACUCUUUACAACUCACCACCAUAGUUUGAUUCAUUCAACAAUUUGAAGCUUUGUUACAUGGAAAAUCUAUAGCUUACACAGGUUUGAACUUGAAUAACUUGAAUAACUUUGAACAUUUUGAGACUUAAAAACUCCUGCUAAUGGCCUAGCUAUCUCCUGCUCCCUGCUGUCGGCUGAAGCUUCUACCGGCCCGCUUGAUUACCACUUACAUCACCUGGAUCAUUAAGCUGUGUGCAGCACCUGAACUCCCCGUCUGAGGCCGGAGGAACACGAGCCAGCGCCACUGCUGAGAGGCCCUACCCCCGCUAAUCACAGGUCAUCGCACACCCCCUCAGCUCCCCUCACCCCCUCCUGACACUCCCAGCACCUCUGGGUCUUACCAGUGCCACGGACAGAGAACCUCCCUACACCCAAAGAGACAGGUCGGCUCUCCUCUUCACACAGUGCCACGGACAGAGAACCUCCCUACACCCAAAGAGACAGGUCGGCGGCUCUCCUCUUCACACAGUGCCACGGACAGAGAACCUCCCUACACCCAAAGAGACAGGUCGGUUCCCCAUUUCACAUAGCACCAUCAAGUGAGACCUUCCUGGGACUCAGAGAUACUGGUCGCGUCUUCACUUCCCACAGCGCUGUUGAGUGAGACAAUCCAUAGACCCCGAGAGAUAAGUCGGUAAUCUACUUCACACAGCGAAAUGGACAGCUCAGUCGACCAUCAAACCCUGCUGAGGUGCCCGUCAAACCCUCAGGCUGAAAUGCUGUAAAACUCUGUUUAAUUAGAUAUUGCAUAAUGCUUCCCCCCUUUGGGUGAGUAUUCUGUCAUAUGGGGAAAUGUGUCAGUGCAGCGUCAAUAACCUCGACUUGGAUCGAGAGGAGCAGAGAUGGAUUGAUAGUCAAAGAUAUUAAAAAAUAAAGCAGGCAACAGGCCAUGCUUUCAGGACAAAGGUUCUCCACAUAAUGUCCAAAACAUCUCAUCCCAAUAUGAAUCUUCACAACAUGGCGGUGAGUUUAAUCACAAAUCUGCAUUUUGGGUUUUGGAAAUGUAUUGUUCGAGGCACAAUGGAUUUUUUACGUUAUUUAUUUGAUCAAAGUCAACAAAUACAAUGAAAGUCUGACAAUGAGAUCUGAAAAGAAAAUGACUAGGGAGCGAAGUUCGACAUGAGUCCAUUCAGCGG